CGGGUGAGUAACGCGUAGGAAUCUACCCAAUAGCGGGGGAUAGCCCGGGGAAACUCGGAUUAAUACCGCAUACGCCCCACGGGGGAAAGGCCGGGAUCUUCGGACCGGUCACUAUUGGAGGAGCCUGCGUAGGAUUAGCUAGUUGGUGGGGUAAUGGCCUACCAAGGCGACGAUCUUUAGCUGGUCUGAGAGGAUGAUCAGUCACACUGGAGCUGAGACACGGUCCAGACUCC
rnacentral:rRNA from 1 species